ensembl:misc_RNA 7SK 7SK RNA
GGAUGUGGAGGGGCAGGGGCAGGGUAGCAUCUGCCCAGCCCCUGGGAAUUCAGCUGACCUGCUGGCUUGGUGUCCCCUUCCUCCCUCAACCUUCCUCAUGCAUCCCUUCUUGACACUGCACACUCACAGAAGAUGACCUUCCCAGCGAAAGGAUCAUUCUUCUGGAAAGCAUAUCUGCCCAAGUUUGUUGUGAAGAUAUAAUAAAGUAAUGGAUAUAAAGAUGCUUUAAAAACUGAACGCACUACACAAAUGUAAGUUAUUAUAAUUAUUAUGAUUAACAAUGU